GCAGUCGAACGGCAGCACGGGAGCAAUUCUGGUGGCGAGUGGCGAACGGGUGAGUAACAUAUCGGAACGUGCCCAGUAAUGGGGGAUAGCCCGGCGAAAGCCGGAUUAAUACCGCAUACGACCUACGGGUGAAAGCGGGGGACCUGCAAGGGCCUCGCGUUAUUGGAGCGGCCGAUAUCAGAUUAGCUAGUUGGUGGGGUAAAGGCCUACCAAGGCGACGAUCUGUAGCUGGUCUGAGAGGACGACCAGCCACACUGGGACUGAGACACGGCCCAGACUCCUACGGGAGGCAGCAGUGGGGAAUUUUGGACAAUGGGCGCAAGCCUGAUCCAGCCAUGCCGCGUGUGGGAAGAAGGCCUUCGGGUUGUAAACCACUUUUGUCAGGGAAGAAACGGUCUGGACUAAUAAUCUGGGCUAAUGACGGUACCUGAAGAAUAAGCACCGGCUAACUACGUGCCAGCAGCCGCGGUAAUACGUAGGGUGCAAGCGUUAAUCGGAAUUACUGGGCGUAAAGCGUGCGCAGGCGGCUUUGCAAGACAGAUGUGAAAUCCCCGGGCUCAACCUGGGAACUGCAUUUGUGACUGCAUGGCUAGAGUACGGUAGAGGGGGAUGGAAUUCCGCGUGUAGCAGUGAAAUGCGUAGAUAUGCGGAGGAACACCGAUGGCGAAGGCAAUCCCCUGGACCUGUACUGACGCUCAUG
rnacentral:rRNA from 1 species